rnacentral:misc_RNA from 1 species
UUACGUUGAUUAGUUCAGAUAUAGUAAUAAAUAGUUGGCCGAAGCCAAGCAACAGUGGGUUCACAAACAUGUAAAAUCAAUAAUGAUCCCUCCGCAGGUUCACCUACGGAGA